UACGUAGGGUGCGAGCGUUAAUCGGAAUUACUGGGCGUAAAGCGUGCGCAGGCGGUUCUGAAAGUCAGCUGUGAAAGCCCCGGGCUUAACCUGGGAACUGCGGUUGAAACUACAGGACUAGAAUCUGGCAGAGGGGGGUGGAAUUCCACGUGUAGCAGUGAAAUGCGUAGAGAUGUGGAGGAACACCGAUGGCGAAGGCGGCCAUCUGGACAGAUACUGACGCUGAGACGCGAAAGCGUGGGGAGCAAACAGG
rnacentral:rRNA from 1 species